UACGGGGGGAGCAAGCGUUGUUCGGAUUUACUGGGCGUAAAGGGCGCGUAGGCGGCCACUACAAGUCAGUUGUGAAAUCUCUGGGCUUAACUCAGAACGGUCAACUGAUACUGUCGGACUAGAGUGCAGAAGGGGCAACUGGAAUUCUCGGUGUAGCGGUGAAAUGCGUAGAUAUCGAGAGGAACACCUGCGGCGAAGGCGGGUUGCUGGGCUGACACUGACGCUGAGGCGCGAAAGCUAGGGGAGCGAACGGG
rnacentral:rRNA from 1 species